rnacentral:rRNA from 1 species
GACGGAGGAUGCAAGUGUUAUCCGGAAUCACUGGGCGUAAAGCGUCUGUAGGUGGUUUAAAAAGUCUAUUGUUAAAAAUUGAAGCUUAACUUCAAAGAUGCAAUGGAAACUUUUAAACUUGAGCAUGGUAGGGGUAGAGGGAAUUUCCAGUGGAGCGGUGAAAUGCGUAGAGAUCGGAAAGAACACCAACGGCGAAAGCACUCUGCUGGGCCGACACUGACACUGAGAGACGAAAGCUAGGGGAGCGAAUGGG